AACCUCAAGUGAUCUGCCCGCCUUGGCCUCCCAAAGUGCUGGGAUUACAGGCGUAAGCCACCGCACCUGGCCACUUGCAGGGUCUUACAGAGCAGCAGGGCUUUUUGGGGGGUCACCCUAACCCUCAGGCAGCCCUAGAAUGACCCCCAUGUAAAGAAAAGCAGCUCUUGCCUCCUGAGCACCUUCUCUGUGCCAGGCACAGUGCUAGCUGUUUCAUAAAAUAGUGCAUGUCAUUCAGGCAACCCCUGUAAGAUGAGGCCGCUAUUCUUAUCCCCGAUUUACAGAUGAAAAACCUGCAGCUCCAGGUGGUUUGGGGCCAGCAGCAACUGAGCACGAAUGGGGCUGAGACAGUCCUCCAGGUCGGCCUGACUCCCCAGCGCCUUUCUUGCCCUGCACAUCUGUCCCCUACCAGCCUUGGACCAAAUGGCUGGUUUGUAGAGGGGCUAGUUCUGUGCUCGCCUCCAAGUCAUGGGUCCUUUUAUGUCUGUUCCUGCCUUAUUCCAGGAGCAGGGCCAAAAAAGUGCACAGACCCUUCUCACGUCCUAUUGAACAGGGGCAGCCUCAGGGGAAGGGAAGCUCCAAGAGGUACCCAUGGGUGAGGUGGGGGAGGGGAAGGUGGAAGAGGGUGGUAGGUGCUGUUGCUAAGCAACCAGCCCUGAGCUUCCUGGGGUAGCUAAAUGACUGCAGACGGAGGAAUUGCAUUUGCCCCGGCCUCACCUCUCCACCCCAUCGUUUGGGUAAUCACUACCUGCUCAGGGACCCCUAGAUCAGAGUUGAACCCACGUGCCAAACAAGUUCCUAGACACCCCUUCUACCUCUUCGUGGGACCUCCUGAAGCCCCACUUUGUCUCCCUUGGGUGUGGCCUCCCAAGAGGCUCUCACUAUGCCAGGGCUGGGUCACCUGAGCUCCAUACCUGGACCAGGCCCCAGUUAUACCUCCAGUUCCCCAGGAACCAUUUGGGCCACAACAGCCCAUUAGACUGAUGCUUCUGGGGAAGACCCUCAGUGAUUUGUUCUCCACCUUGGGUCAGAAACGAGAUUCAAGUCGCCAUCCUAUAAAGCUAACUUUGUCCCCUGUCCCUGGCGUGGGCCGGGGUGCAUGCAGUCAGCGGCCUAUUUUCUGCUCUCACCUAAUCCCUACCAGCCUAGGCCUUUGCUCAGAGGCCUUAAUAUCUGCGAUAUUUCUCCCUGUAACAUUUCUGGAAAAGACAGGUACCUGAGUAAGCUUACCCCUUGCUGUCAGUCUCUACACCAGUUUCUUAUCCACUAUAAAAAAGAGUCCAUCCCUCAGCCUUAGGUGACUUAAUUCUUUUUUCUACAUUCUUAUCCACAGGCUUUUAAAAAGUGUAGUUUUAUUCUUGCUGUCAUUAAGAAAGGAACACAAGUUCAUUUACAUUUUUUCAAAGGAAACAAAAGUGUACAAAGUUAAAAAGCAAAAACUUGUUCAUAGGUUUGUGUGUAUCUUUCCAGAACUUUUCCAUGCGUGUACAAACCUAUACAUGUGUGUAUUUGUAUCGAUUUUAAAGAAUUUCACAAAAAUGAGAUUAAGCUAUGAACAUUUUUUUUUUAACCACAACACUACUGCAUGGGGAUCUAACGCAUCAGAACAGACGCGCUUACCACCUUGUUUCGAAGGCUUUUAGGGAAUCUAGGUGGAUUCCCCUUUACCUGUUCGUUUAUUUAGUACUUCAGGAACCUAUACAGGUAAUCGAGCAGGCCUUCCAGAAGCCUCCUUCCAAACAGGUUCUGCUCGAUGGGGUGCUGGGGGAUCCCACUGGCUUGGCAGGGGCAGCGGUGAACUCGCCUGUGUCUCCCAGGGUCCUCCGGCGAGUGGUGGGGGAGGGAUACUCCGAAGGCCUCCUGCCCCCAGGCCACGGCCCUUCCCAAGUAUUCCCCAGGACACAGCCCACAUUCAACAGCUUAAUGAGCCACAAAUCUAACCCAUGCCCCAUAAUCUCCUCUCUAAGCAUCUUUUUACCUUUUCAAGGAAGGAUCACUGGAACCUAUGACCUAGCUCAUCUAUCAGAUCUCGAACAUCCGCACCGAGACCCCUCCCCUUUCAUGACAGCAAGAAGAGCUCUAGACUAGGAGUCAGGAGACCCAAGUUCCAGCUCUCUGGUUACUGGCUGUAAGAGAUGGUCCUCUGUCCCCUCUGUGCACUCAGACGGGGCAUCUAAUAACUGGCUCAGAAUUAAAAAUGACCUUGACAUUUGAAACAGAAGCAGAGAGGAAAGAUCAAUAGGGAUGGUGGCGAGCAGGGCUGUGACCACAGGAAAGAGAAAAUAGGAACCUGGUCAUAUAUCUAAAUAAGGCUGGGCAGCCUUAAGGGUCAGAGAGGACCACAGCAGGACAGGAGUAGGCAACACAGAGCUACUGCUGAAAAAAACAAAAAAUCCACUCUAUACUGGGAUUUAGUUAGGAAAGCCCCAGGCAUCUGCGCCUCCCUUACCCCCACCCCGACUGCCCACCAAGCACCCUUGCUGUCCUCCAGACAGGCUGGUGGCCUGUGAUGUGAUCAGCAAGGGAGAUUUGGCCCAGAAGGCCCUGCCCACCAGCUGUUCUUGCAGGGGGCUGCCAGGCACCUGCACUCAUGCCUGGGGGCCUGGGCCGUCUGCAGGGCACCUCCCCUCUGGGUUGGUGGCUCGGUUCUGCCCAGCAUGUGUGUGUUGGGGGGCAGGGUCAGGCUGUAGAGACGGGAACCUGACGUCUCCACCCCCAUUUCCCUGGCACUGGCAGCCCCUUGCAGGAAUGUUCUGGAUGCUGGGGCACCUCAGCCUGGUGGAAUGGGCAAGGGGGCACAUGGAGACCUCUGGGAGGCCAGAAAAGGGACCCUCCUCCUCCUGCCACAUCCUCACCAUGACUGCUAUCACUCGCACACAGACCAGACCUGACCCUGGCCUCCCCCUUCAUCGUCACAACCCCCUGGGGUCAGUGUAAUUUAAACCCUGCUCUGUUGCUCUCCAAGUCUGAGCUCUUAAGCUCUGGUCUAUGGAAUAGAAAGAAUCAGGAUCCGACACCAAAUGAGCUCAUUUGGCCCCUUCCCCUCCCUCCCUGCUGUCCUCUCUCCACCCCCACCCCGCACUGGCCGCCACACUCAGGCAGUUCAGAGCAAUUCUCCGUAGGCCACAGAGGAGUUCCGGAGUGCAGGGGCCUCCUCCCCAAACCAAGGCAGGGCCUCAGCCUGGCCUCCAGCACAACCCAGGCCCCAGUCCACCUCCCGGGCACUAGAGCCACCCACAAUGAUGCCCUGCCCCUGAAGGCCUGGCUUCCUCCCUGAAGUCCCACUUCUGUGCUCUGAGGUGCUUCUGAGAUGCCACCUCCUUCAAGAAACCUUCCCUGAUGGCCUUAGUUGGUUUGACCUCACUCUCCUUUGGGCACUUUAUUUCUCCCUCUCCAGUGACCCCAGUACCACUCUGCAGUCCUUCGUUAGCUGGGCACAUCCUAAACGCACCGUGUCCCCUCAAAGCCAGCACAGGGCAUGGCUUACAGGAAAUGCUCAGCACACCUCUGGAAAAUGGAAGCGAAUACGGUGGCAAAGUGCUGCUGCACUCAAGACAGGAUGAGAAUAACGAGCUGAAACUACAGCAGGAGGGAUUUCAGGUGGAAGAAAACAACCUGUUGACAUGCGAUUUGUUCAACUCAACAGAUUGCUAAGUGGCACCGAGGAGCCUCCCACCUCCCAGGAUUUUGAAUCAGAAUCGGCACUUUCCUCAUCUGACCAAGAUUCUGCAAAAGACACAGGAAGGUGGAUGAGGCUUCUUAGAGCACUUCCUGCAGUGCUAGUCCACGUGAGUCGCCCAAAUGAUGAAAACAGACACAGCUAACAGGAGGGCUCCCGCUCUGUUGAGGCUGUAACGCACAUCAUCUCACUCCAUCCUCACAACCACCUGUAGGCAGAAUCCAUGAGCACUCCCAUGUUACAGGGGAGGAAACUGAGGCCCAGGGAAUGGAGUUGCCGCCCAAGUUCCUGCCGCUGGGAGGUGUCAGAGUGCAACUUCCUGUGGCUCAAGGGCCUCAUGCUGCCUUGACACUGGCUCAUGUGGAAGCAAGUCCUCCCCAUCCACAGGCAGUGGCACACCAUGUACACAUACAUCAUGCACAGACACACGUGCACUGAACCUCGUCUUGCCCACACACUUAGCCAAGUGGAGGCAGGCUCGGACACAGACAUAAAUCUCAGGCUGACACUUCAUGGAUCUCAGAUUUGGUCAUGUUUUUAGGGAAAAAUCGUUAAAGAGAGAAAUGAUUGAAAAUGAGCCCUCAAAAUUAAAGUGGAAAGGAAUGUGGCACCUCUGGUAGACCAUUAAAGCCCUGCUCAGGAACAGCAACGUCCGGCAGAAACCCAGCCACAGGCCAGGUGGGCUUCUUAUGGGCUCUCUGCUCAUCCACUACUAUUCAAAUGGAAGUGGAAGCUAUUCCCCGGGGGCUGCAGCAUGAGAAAUAGUACUGGGGUAGAUGCUCUGGCCCUACCUGCUAGAGGCCAGAGACACAUUCAACUCCCAGUGGGGCAUGGGUUGGGGAGGACACGAGCACCAAGUCCAGGACCCCAGGCCAGCAAGCUGGAGGCAGCAGGAAGUACCGAAGGAGAGGCAUGUGACCGGCACGUGAACGGCCCUGCAGGCCUCAGGCUCUGGGUAGCACGGACAACCCUGAGAAGAACUGGGCGUCACCUCCCACAAACAGUACCAUACCCAGUAUCAAGAGCUCUCAGAGCUUAAACUCCUCUUUCAGCCUGCAAUUCUAACGUUUGGGUUCUAAUGCUGACAUUUCAGGCCCAAAGACGGGGAGAGGGUGGUCUGUUUUAACUCACCCAUUAGAGUCCUCUUUCUACCUGGAUCCCAAAAAGAGAAGCCUUGGGGGAGUCUGGCUCUUGCUGGGAAAGAACUUGGGUCUUUCAGGGAGGUGUGAGCCUGAGGAGCUGGCCUGUAAGUAGGCGGUGGCCACUGGGCAGCAACGCACAGCAGUAGGGGGAAGGGAGCCCGGCACUAACGCUGCCUCGCUGCCUCGGGGAGAGGACAGGAUGGCAGUACACCCCCCUCAUUCAGCAGACUCCCUUGGAGGCCUCAUCGCUUGUCCAAGGGACCCAGGGAGGCAAAGCCCCUGUUCCCUGGAGAUCACAAACUGAGAGGGGAGACGGACACAUGCAGCAGCCCAGGUAAGAGGUGUAGUGUGGGGCGUCUUCCCCUGAGUGCAGGCCUGGCUCCACUUCUUCCUGCCAGUGACCCUGGACAAGGAUUUUACCGUUUGUCCUGUCUUCCUAGCUUUUUGAGAACCACUGGCAGAGGUGGGUGUGAAAGCGAUAGUAAAACAUCCAUAAGGGACUGAGGAGCUUACUGUGAAUUGGACUCGAAAAGGAAACCUCAGAAAUUAUCCACACACAGGGAUUUAUACACAAACCUACAGAAUACACACGUGCUGAGGCUUAAAGGAGGCUGUACUUUUUACACCCUCUGCAGAGUCGGACGUGACCAACCCGUCUCUUGCAGGGACCCUCCUCACACUGCCUCUCCUUCCCAAGCCCAACUCGUUUGGGGGCCCUGAUCUCUCUUAUAUCUCCUUCUCCUUGGAAGCCUUCCCCUAUUACUGCCAUGUGUGGAAAAACAGACCACCCUGUCCCCAUUUCUGGGCCUGAAAUUCCACCACUAGAAUCAGAGCCAUAGAAUGUCAAAGCUGGAAUGGACCUUCCGGCUCUAGUCCAACCCCCACCCCACAGAGGAAUCCUGUCCGCAGACACCCUGACAGAUGGCCGCUGGCGUCCUCUCCUAGGCUUCUCCAGGAAGGACUCAGAGGGCAGCCCUGUCCCUGUGGACCAGUCCACUCCUUGAGUCUAGAAGGAAUUCACCUUUCUUGGGGUCAGUCUCCUAUGGAAGGAACUGGUGCCUGGGUGGGGUAACGAGGGAAGUUUGGUCGGCCUGAAUCCGCAGCUGCUUAUCUGGGGAGGAGCUGCACAGAGGAGGGGGACCCACCAGGGAGGCAGACAGGUGCCAGAGCUGCUGCACAGGCCGGCCUGCGCCGUCGCCUGGAGCCAGCACAUGUGCACACACACACUCCCACCUUGACAGAGCCACCUGUCACAGCCCAAGCAGGGUCUUGGUGGAACCUGGAGGCAGAGGGGGACCAUUUUGCCCCAGAAACCCAGCAGGAACUCCCCACAACCCAACUCUCCAAAGGCAGGCACCUCAGAAAACUACCUGGUGAUGGCCCCUGCCAGCCAACCAAAGAGGGUCCCCCGGAUGCCGGGCCCCCCAAAUUCCACAGGCCAGUCCUAACACCCAAGCAACAGCAAGGCGAAUAGCUCCCCUGGCUGCAGCUGUCACAUCUGCUCGGGAGGGAGGGAAGAGGCGACAUUGGAGCAGCACCUGAUCCCAGGAUCCCUUCGUAGCCGCCCGCCCAGGAGGCGGUUCAGCCGCUGGCAGCCUAGGGUGAAACAUGAAGACUGAGCAGGCCCCCUGGGAUGCUGAUGGCAGUCUCUGGGCACGGCACUGAGGGGCAAGUUGGGUCACAGGGCGGAGGGCGCUUCUCCCCAAGGCUUCUGUCCCCGCUGGUUUGGAGGGGGGGUAGCUGUGCGGCUCUGGGGCCCGGCCCUGCCCACCCUCCCGCCUGCCGCAGGCCAGAGCUGCCCUGCUGGGUGCCAGACGCCAUGUUGGGUCAAGGUGCAGCCACAGGGGGCUCCCCUCAGGAGCGUGGGGGAGGCAGCCCCUGGGAACCAGAGGGCACCGCUCCCCGCUGCCAGGGCGCCGACACCUCCUCAACUAGCCGUGCAGCGGAGAGAGGGUGCCAGGACGGAGGAGAUGAGGAGAGGGGGAUAAAUGGCAGAGAGGCGCUGGGGCGGGAGAAGGUGCCCCCAAGAAGGGAGGCUCCAGGAAAGCGAAACGCAGUUUGGCAGUCCCAGGGCCGCGGGCCCCAGCGAUGAGGGGCUGGGGGAGGCCAGGGGCGGGCCCUGGACCCGCGCCAGCCCGGUCCGCGCCGAAGGGGAGGGAAGGCAGGGCGGCCUGGGGGAGGGGAGCUGGGGUGAGGGCGGGACACGGACCGCGGCCGCCUGCGGCUCCGAAGCUCGGGGUCUCCCGGGGUGCGGGGACGUGGGGCCGAAGACCCCACUCCGCAGCCGCGGCAAGGCCUCGUCCUUCACUGUGCAGAUGCGAAGCUUUCAAGGACACGUCUGCACCGGCCCGGCGGGUGGGAAGUGAUGGAGCAUCAGAGCCCAACAGACAGACGGGGUUUCUCCUUUCUAACUACGUGAGGACACCCGACCUCUCCAGGCCUUGUUCACCUGGGAACCGAUAACAUCACGUUACAGCUUUGCUGAGCAGAUGUCACUAAGAUCACAUAGGUGAGCACACCUGGUACACAGUAGGUACUUCACAUGCACUUGUUCCCUACCCUUUAGAGCCAAGACCUCUUGAAGAAACCCACCUGGAUCUGGUCACCAGUGACUCAGAAGCCCAACGUGCAUGCACCUUACAUAACCGCCACACGCUAUCCUGUGUGUCACGAUCUCGCUAUACUUUCGGUUCUAGUGUUUUCCUUUAUUCACUCCCUCCUAGGUGUCUUUAAGCAGCUCUGCUCUCUGGUUUCCGCAAGCAGAGCUCCAUUUUCUCGGUACCUCUCCACAGUGCCUGGAUGGUGCUCUCUAGGCCCUGGGGGCUGGGGCUGGCUGUGAUUUCUGAGCUUCGAAGAUCCCCCAGACCCCUGCUGGAAGCAAGUUCCUCCUGCCUUGGGUGUGCCUGGGUGUGCUGAGUCGAAAGGCUUUUUUUUUUUUUUUUUUUUGCGGGGAACUGUGUGUGCACAACACAGCGAGGGAGUGACCUAGUCCAGGGAGCCGUCUCCCUUUGACACAGCACGCAGAGGAAUAAAGACCCAGGCUCUAUCAUAAAAUGGGGGCAGGUAAAGAGCAGUUAGGCGAGGGGGCGUGGGCCGUCAGGGUAGGGGCCUCAGUAAACAGUGUUGAACAAGGGCCUCUCCCAGCUCCACCCUGGCUUUAAACCCCACGGUUUGUAGUUCAGCUCCAGAGGCCUCCCAGUGACCCCAAUCUCAUUCCUCUCGACUCAACAGUGAUGGCGGAAGGCAGGAAGAUAAGCUGGACUCCUUGAAGCCGACACCCCCCAGGGAAAUUCCAUCACCCGCCUUGAGCACUGCAAUGUCUUCCCGCACUGCUUUGUUUUCUUCUUCAUCUAAGUGUCGUCCCGUGAAUCUCACAGUGUGGUCUUUGGACCAACAGCACCACCAUCACCUGCAAGCUUGUUAAGUGCAAAUUCUCUAGUUCUACCCAAGACCUGCUGAAUCAGAGACUCUAUCCGUAUUUUAACAAGCCCUCCAGGGGAUUCACGGACAUGCUGAAGUCUGCGAACCACUGGUGCAGUAUAUUACCUAGGAGCCCUGAGAAGGACACUUCAUUUAGUUUUCUGAUCCACACAAGGAGAACCCGUCCAGGCGCAUGAGGCUUGCGGCUACAGUGUCUUCCCAAGGAAGGCGGGCUACUGACCUCCCACAUGUCCCGCAUGUAACCCAUCAGCUGAGCCCUGGCAGUGCAGAGGCCAGAGGCCAGACUGGGAAUUCACCGAAUGCCUCUUCAUGAGCUCUUUUCUUCCAGAAGGUGCAGCAGGAAUUCAGAUGGCUGUAGGCAUUGCCAUAGCAACUGCACCCCUCCGAAGCGCUUAUGGGCUGCAGGAGCACAGUAAGCAGAGCGAAGAGGGGCGCGUCUGCCAGUGGAUGAAGCCUCACCAGCAGAUGAGAGGGGCCACGAAGGGAAGAGGAGGCUCAGGAUGGCUGGGACUUAUGGACAAGAACUCGGUGGAGCUGUUGCUUCCUCAAGACCCACGAUGUAUUAGGUAGCCCUCCAGGAGUCCUCCGGCACAGAAAAACAGCGCCAGCCCAGGCUAUGGUGCUGCAUGGCAGCCUGGCUCACCCAGGAGUCAGUGAUGCCGCAGUCUCUCAAAAGACCGUCUACCUAGGCUGCUCAGUGGUCCCAGAGCAAUUAAGAUGGAAGUGCCCAUCUUCCUUCUGUGAUGACCAUCUGUGUUCCUCGCCAGGGUUGAGGAAAGGGACCCAGUUCCAAACGUCUGACAGGGAUGUGGGUCCUAAAGCAGAUGCCAACAGUCAUGAGGGAGCUCGGGGCUUAGGUAAUGGCGGAUAUUCUAGCUCUACAAGACAUCAACCUUAGCAAGAACCAGCAUCACCAGAGUGCACCCAGUACCUGAGUGCUGGCCUCAGAGCUGAGGACACAGAGUCAGCAGGGGCUUGGGCAGAGGAGAGGGCCCCAUGCCCUUGGAAACAGGGAUCCCUGCUUGCCUGGAAGGCCAGAGAGGGGCCACGGUGAGCAGAACCCCGUGGAAAGUUCGGGGGGACACAGUGCCAACCAAUGGGAAGAUGAGCUAUGGGGGAGAAGAGACAGACAGGAAAGGAUGGAAGGAGUGAAUACCCACCCCUUCUAUUUUACCCUGACUGGGCCUUGGCAGGCUUCCCUGGGACUCCAUCCGUGCGCGGCCAGGAGUUGAUCCCACCGGCUCUGCACAGACCUCCUCAAAGCCAAGGUAAAUUCCUGAUGCGGAGAUGAGACCAUGCCCUGAGGGGAGUGAUGAAGGUGCUAGUACAUGCAGGGCUGUGCAGGGGGAGGCCC